CCUACGGGUGGCAGCAGUGGGGAAUAUUGCACAAUGGGGGAAACCCUGAUGCAGCGACGCCGCGUGAAGGAAGAAGGCUUUCGGGUUGUAAACUUCUUUUCGCAGGGAUGAAGCACGUGACGGUCCCUGAGGAAUAAGCCACGGCUAACUACGUGCCCACAGCCGCGGUAAUACGUAGGUGGCAAGCGUUAUCCGGAUUUACUGGGUGUAAAGGGCGUGUAGGCGGGAAAGCAAGUCAGAUGUGAAAACCAUGGGCUCAACCGGUGGCCUGCAUUUGAAACUGUUGGGCUUGAGUACGGGAGAGGCAGACGGAAUUCCUAGUGUAGCGGUGAAAUGCGUAGAUAUUAGGAGGAACACCAGUGGCGAAGGCGGUCUGCUGGACAGCAACUGACGCUGAGGCGCGAAAGCGUGGGGAGCAAACAGGAUUAGAUACCCCAGUAGUC
rnacentral:rRNA from 1 species